AAAAAAAAUUGCACAGCAAAACGUUGCCAGCAUAAGAAGAAUCCAAAAGAAGUCCAUUUGUGAGGAAAGAUCUAUCCUAGAUCUACACAAGAAAGUGCUACUCAUACUGAUGGUGUAAAUUAUGGGACAUGACAGUGGAUUCCUGGUGUUCACACUGGAGCCUGUCUAAAUAAACUCGGAUCUAUGCUGUAUCUACUUGACUGUAUGCUUCCACACACCACCACAGGCUCUGGCUAAUCUCACCUACAGUGGUCGCCCUACCCAUUUCAGCGCUGCCUCAAAAUGUGAGAAGAUAGAGACAGAGAAGGUGUGGUGCUCUCUGUUAUCCCAGAUGAGCAAUGGUGACCAGCAAAGUCAUCUCUAACCAUGAGCCACAUGUUUGUUUUUAACUAUCGUUUGACCUGUUUUAGGUUUGCAAAUCUAAAACUAAACAAACUGUAACUCCUAAAGGAUUGGACUUCUAAAACAUAGGCUUUGCCUGAAUACAAAAUAUAAACUGCAUGUCUUUCUCCAAACAGUGCUUCAAGUGCCUUUGAAUCGAAUAAUGUCAUGCCAACUCCAACAUGAUUUCAUGAGCAAUUUCACGUUACAGGUUCCUAACAUUUUCAAUCUUUGGAAACCAUUUUACAUAAAAACUAAAUGUUGUUGUCCGUUUCUUAGCAAUGCAAAACUGGUAUCAUUUAGCAGAUUGGUCAUUGCGGCCUACACACUAUUCUAGGGCUAACGUUAACUUAAAGUUAAUGUUUGGUGAAAUGUAACAGUUAAUCCAGUGAAAGGCAGAUCAAAGCCUCUCAGAGGGGCUUCGGAGCCCAG